AGUGAACGCUGGCGGUAGGCCUAACACAUGCAAGUCGAACGGCAGCACAGUAAGAGCUUGCUCUUACGGGUGGCGAGUGGCGGACGGGUGAGGAAUACAUCGGAAUCUACUUUUUCGUGGGGGAUAACGUAGGGAAACUUACGCUAAUACCGCAUACGACCUACGGGUGAAAGCAGGGGAUCUUCGGACCUUGCGCGAUUGAAUGAGCCGAUGUCGGAUUAGCUAGUUGGCGGGGUAAAGGCCCACCAAGGCGACGAUCCGUAGCUGGUCUGGGAGGAUGAUCAGCCACACUGGAACUGAGACACGGUCCAGACUCCUACGGGAGGCAGCAGUGGGGAAUAUUGGACAAUGGGCGCAAGCCUGAUCCAGCCAUACCGCGUGGGUGAAGAAGGCCUUCGGGUUGUAAAGCCCUUUUGUUGGGAAAGAAAAGAAGAAGGUUAAUACCCCGCUGUUCUGACGGUACCCAAAGAAUAAGCACCGGCUAACUUCGUG
rnacentral:rRNA from 1 species